CCCGCGCACCGCCCACACACCGGCGCACCGGGCGGCCUGGGCGCGCGGCUCCGCCCCGCUACGGGCGCCCGGCAGGGACAGCCCGCGCCGCGCUCCCGCCUCCAGCCCGGCGGGCGCGGGGGGCGCCAGGGGCUGCGGGCCCGGCCUUCGCCGGGAGGGACAGGCGCACGGCCACCCGCGCCGUGCGGGGGGGAACCCGAGCGUGCCGGUCCCACGGGGCGCUAGCGGCACUCCGUACAGAUUGUUUGAUGCAAUGGUGUUCUUUAGGAACUAUGUCCUUCUAGUCUCAUCUGCUAUGUCUGCAAUAUUAAAGGCUCCUUC